rnacentral:misc_RNA from 1 species
CGAACCCUAAUCCCAGUCCAAGGCAACCUACAUCUUCAAAACGGAGGAAAACUCUAAGCUUACCAGACGCAUGGUUUAAUGACCAAUCGCUGAAGCAUGCGACUUUGAAGAUGCAUCUCAGAUCUCUCUCUGCUACCCCAUCAGCAUCCCCUCCUUCUGACACUGACUUUUCAUUAUUAACAGGAUUUCAAUCUCUAACACUGGACCCUCCUGGGCCCGAUUACACCUCCCUCCUCUCCGAUGAGCUCCUCCUCCAAAUUUUCUCCAGGCUUCCAAUCUCUCAUCAUGUCUCAAAUUCUCUCGUCUGCAAGCGCUGGUUUUAUCUUCAUGGUCGCUUGGUACAAUCCCUCAAGCUCAUCGACUGGUCCUUUCUUAAUUCGGGUCGGAUAUUUCACCGCUUCCCUAAUCUCACCGAGAUUGACAUCGUUAACGCUUGUAUUAGAACGCCUCCAAACUCCGGUAUUUUGUUGAGUCACAGGAAUUUGUCAAUUCAUAUUGGUACCGAACUCACGGGGACGGAGUUUAUCGAACAGAUUGAUCUGUUACCAUCGAAUUUGGUUGAUAAAGGGCUUGAAAUGAUUGCCAAACGGUACCCUAAUUUGAGGAGAAUUUUUGCAGUUGGCGCAAGCGAAACUGGGCUUUUGAGUAUUUCAAAUGAGUGCGAGACAUUGCAAGAAUUGGAGUUGCAUUGUUGUGGAGAUUUAUCGUUGAAAGGCAUUUCGAGUUGUAGGAAUUUGCAAGUAGUGAAAUUGAUUGGUUGUAUUGAUGGGUUCUAUAAUUCGGUGGUGUCUGAUAUUGGACUAACGAUAUUAGCGCAGGGAUGUAGGCGGUUAGUGAAGCUUGAACUGUGUGGAUGUGAAGGAAGCUAUGAUGGGNNNNNUUGGACAGUGUUGUCAAAUGCUUGAGGAGUUGACUUUCUUUGAUCAUAGGAUGGAUGGUGGGUGGUUGGCUGCACUGUCAUUUUGCGGCAAUUUGAAGACUUUGAGGCUGCAGUCCUGCAAGAGCAUUGAUUCAGAUCCAGGUCCGGAUGAGCAUUUGGGAUCCUGUCCUACUCUUGAAGAGCUGCAUUUGCAACAGUGUCAGAUGCGGGAUAAGCCAGGCGUGAAGGCUUUAUUUUUAGUUUGUGAGGCAGUCCGGGAGAUUGUUUUGCAGAACUGUUGGGGAUUGGAGGAUGACGUAUUUGGUUUUGCAAGCCUUUGUAGGAGGGUGAAGCUUGUAUCACUAGAAGGAUGUUCAUUGCUGACAACAGGAGGUUUGGAGGCAGUUAUUGUUAAUUGGAAGGAGCUUCAAAGAUUAAGAGUAAAUUCAAGCAACAAGAUCAAGGACAGUGAAGUGAGUCCUGCCCUGGCAUCUCUGUUCUCUGUUCUCAAAGAACUGAAAUGGCGACCAGACUCCAGAUCUCUCCUUUCCUCAAGUCUUGCUGGGACUGGAGUGGGCAAUAAAGGUGGUAGAUUUUUCAAGGGAUUGAAGGGUUGAAUCUGGGCUUCAAUUUGGUGAACGUUUUUGUGAUUUACAUGGUAGCUGCAAAAUGUUUUGGUGGUAUACUACUCUUUAGAUAUCCUCUAUCAUCUUCUUAUCUAAUUUAGAUGAUCAGCCGUCGGUAGCAGAGGAGGAUUUGCUUGAGCUUUUCACUAAGAGCUUGCUAAUGGGGGCUAUCGUAUGAAGCAUAUCAUUACUCAAUCACCCCUUUUAGUUUAUGUGGGUGAUUUGUAAGUUGAGCUAAAUAAGCUGUGUAACUGUAUUUUAAAGCUAGGGCUGUUUUUUUUUU